rnacentral:rRNA from 1 species
CGCGUAGGCGGUUUGCUAAGUCAGAUGUGAAAGCCCUCGGCUUAACCGGGGACGUGCAUUUGAAACUGGCAGACUUGAGUACUGGAGGGGGUGGUGGAAUUCCCGGUGUAGAGGUGAAAUUCGUAGAUAUCGGGAGGAAUACCGGUGGCGAAGGCGACCACCUGGCCAGAUACUGACGCUGAGGUGCGAAAGCGUGGGGAGCAAACA